rnacentral:rRNA from 1 species
ACGAACGCUGGCGGCAGGCCUAACACAUGCAAGUCGAACGCCCUCUUUCGGGAGGGAGUGGCGCACGGGUGAGUAACGCGUGGGAAUCUGCCCUUUGGUCUGGAAUAACCCUGGGAAACUAGGGCUAACACCGGCUAAGCCCUGGUUCGAGAGGAUUGGAGGAAAGUUUACGCCGAAGGAGGAGCCCGCGUCCGAUUAGCUAGUUGGUGAGGUAAGAGCUCACCAAGGCUUCGAUCGGUAGCUGGUCUGAGAGGACGAUCAGCCACACUGGGACUGGGACACGGCCCAGACUCCUACGGGAGGCAGCAGUGGGGAAUAUUGGACAAUGGGCGCAAGCCUGAUCCAGCCAUGCCGCGUGAGUGAUGAAGGCCUGCGGGUUGUAAAGCUCUUUUGGCGGGGACGAUGAUGACGGUACCCGCAGAAUAAGCCCCGGCAAACUUCGU